rnacentral:tRNA from 1 species
GGCCGGCGCGAUUGGCGCUGGUGGCUGGCGGUGCUCUCGGGCGGCGCCGGCUGGAUCGUGCCCGGCAUGCUCAAGAUCCUGCUCGGCGCCGGCCUC